GAAUCAGUUGCUAAGUUAGUGACAGGUCUUUAAAUUAACUCAAGUUGUGGAGCGACAAAACAAGCAAUGUGGGGAAAAAAAAUGCAAGCAAUUUGGCUUAAAUAACCCUCACCGACAGAGUUAUUAGAAACCAUCUGAGAUGAUAUUUCAGCAGUAUUAGUUUUUCGCCUUCCAAAGGACUUAUUCCAGCAUUUCUUUGCAACUAACUGGGACCUAAAGCUCUGGUAAAGUGUGGGAAGCACUGAGUACUUCCAGGCAGGAGUACUGAGCUCCCAGCCACUUUCCUGGAGUCCACACAAAGUCCUUAUUUUCAGGUGCUGGUUUUGAUGUGACUUUGCCUCUAACACCCUGAGGACUUUCUGACUACAGAAGACCGCAACAAGACAAAGCGAAUGAAAAAGGAAGAGGACGAGAAGGGGAACAAAAUAAAAGCACCGUCUGGGGACCUGGCAUCCAGCUUACGGAUGGGGAUUCACCCUGGCAGCAGCCAAGUCCCUGAGGAGAAGGAGGGAUGAAGCAAAGUCUGGUGAGUUACACAGAUCGCUUCCCCGGCAGUGUUCCUGCUCUUCUCAGCACAGACUGUUUGC
rnacentral:lncRNA from 1 species